rnacentral:misc_RNA from 1 species
GAUUAAGAACGUAGCGAAAUGCGAUAAGUAGUGUGAAUUGCAGAAUUCAGUGAAUCAUCGAAUCUUUGAACGCACAUUGCGCCCCAUGGUAUUCCGUGGGGCAUGCCUGUUCGAGCGUCAUUUACCCCCUCAAGCUCCGCUUGGUGUUGGGCGUCUGUCCCGCUUCGCGCGCGGACUCGCCCCAAAGGUAUUGGCAGCGGUCGUGCCAGCUUCUCGCGCAGCACAUUGCGCUUCUCGAGGCACCGGUGGGCCCGCGUCCAUCAAGCUCACCCCCCCAGUUUGACCUCGGAUCAGGUAGGGAUACCCGCUGAACUUAAGCAUAUCAAUAAGCGGAGGA